GACGAACCGUGCAAACGUUAUUCGGAAUCACUGGGCUUAAAGGGCGCGUAGGCGGCAGACCAAGUCCGGGGUGAAAUCUUUCGGCUUAACCGGAAAAGGGCCUUGGAUACUGGUUUGCUAGAGGGAGGUAGGGGUCUGUGGAACUUCUGGUGGAGCGGUGAAAUGCGUUGAUAUCGGAAGGAACGCCGGUGGCGAAAGCGACGUGCUGGACCUCUUCUGACGCUGAGGCGCGAAAGCUAGGGGAGCGAACGGG
rnacentral:rRNA from 1 species